rnacentral:rRNA from 1 species
CGCUGAGUUUAUCCUGGCUCAGGAUGAACGCUAGCGGCAGGCUUAACACAUGCAAGUCGAGGGGUAUAGUUCUUCGGAGCUAGAGACCGGCGCACGGGUGCGUAACGCGUAUGCAAUCUACCUUUUACAGAGGGAUAGCCCAGAGAAAUUUGGAUUAAUACCUCAUAGUAUGUGAGAAUCGCAUGGUUUUUCACAUUAAAGUCACAACGGUAAAGAUGAGCAUGCGUCCCAUUAGCUAGAUGGUAAGGUAACGGCUUACCAUGGCGACGAUGGGUAGGGGUCCUGAGAGGGA